CUCAGCAUCAGUUCAUGUAAGUCUUUCCAGGUUUUCUGAAAUCUGCCUGCUCAUCAUUUCUUAUAGUACAAUAUUAUUCUGUUAAUUAUUCCCAUUCUUUAAAGCCCAACUCAAAAGCAUCCAGCUCUAGAAAAUAUUCCCUGAUCCCCUGACCUCCCUCAGGUCUCACACAAUACAUUAUUUUGUAACCCUCCAUUGUAUUUAUUGUUUAAUAUUGUAAUAUAGCAUGAUAUAUGUACAUAUAUGUGCAUAUGUAUACAUAUAUAUUAUGUCAUCUGUGUGUAACUCUAGUCUCAAAGCCCACUCAUAUGUGAUUCUCUCCUUAUUGGUGGAAAUCAAUGCCCCACAUCUGUGUGAGGAGUAGGACAGAAUCGGUGAGAGCAGGAGAGCUCAGGUCUCUUCAGUUUUCUUCAGAUCUGCUUUGUUGUCAAGACUCUUCAAACUUUGGACAUUUCUGGUUUCUGGCUUUGAGAGAGAAGGUGGAAGGUGCCAACUCAACUUCAGGUUGUUGAAGAAAAGGACUCUGGGAAAAACUAACAUGAGAGGAGCUGGCAGGCACCAUCACAUCCCUAAUUCUCAGCUUGCCAUAUUGGAGACUUAAAUGAGACAAGGACUUCUUUCUCUUGGUUGAGCCGAGUCACCUCAUUCCCAGCAGGAGGGUUCCUUUAUUCUGCAUUGUCUGGUCAACUGGAGAGCUGAGAAAGUCCUAAGUCAUAGCAGUAAGCCUACCCUUGAAGAUUUACAAAGUGCUUGCAUUUUCUGCAUAACAGCUCUGUGAAGUAGGCAGCCACAGUAUUACCUUCUCUUUAUAGAAAUUGAGACUCAGAAGAAAAAUCUGGAAAGACUUAAGUGGACUGAUGCUGAGUGAAGUGAGCAGAACCAGGAGAAC